GAUGAACGCUGGCGGCGUGCCUAAUACAUGCAAGUCGAGCGAACAGACGAGGAGCUUGCUCCUCUGACGUUAGCGGCGGACGGGUGAGUAACACGUGGAUAACCUACCUAUAAGACUGGGAUAACUUCGGGAAACCGGAGCUAAUACCGGAUAAUAUAUUGAACCGCAUGGUUCAAUAGUGAAAGACGGUUUUGCUGUCACUUAUAGAUGGAUCCGCGCCGCAUUAGCUAGUUGGUAAGGUAACGGCUUACCAAGGCAACGAUGCGUAGCCGACCUGAGAGGGUGAUCGGCCACCCUGGAACUGAGACACGGUCCAGAUUCCUAGGGAAGGCAGAAGUAGGGAAUCUUCGGAAAGGGGCGAAAGCUUGACGGAGCACGCCGCGUGAGUGAUGAAGGUCUUCGGAUCGUAAAACUCUGUUAUUAGGGAAGAACAAAUGUGUAAGUAACUAUGCACGUCUUGACGGUACCUAAUCAGAAAGCCACGGCUAACUACGUG
rnacentral:rRNA from 1 species